rnacentral:rRNA from 1 species
CCUACGGGUGGCAGCAGUAGGGAAUAUUGCUCAAUGGGGGAAACCCUGAAGCAGCAACGCCGCGUGGAGGAUGAAGGUUUUCGGAUUGUAAACUCCUUUUGUUAGAGAAGAUAAUGACGGUAUCUAACGAAUAAGCACCGGCUAACUCCGUGCCAGCAGCCGUGGUAAUACGGAGGGUGCAAGCGUUACUCGGUAUCACUGGGCGUAAAGAGCGCGUAGGCGGGAUAGCAAGUCAGAUGUGAAAUCCUAGGGCUUAACCAUAGAACUGCAUUUGAAACUGUUAUUCUAGAGUAUGGGAGAGGUAGGUGGAAUUCUUGGUGUAGGGGUAAAAUCCGUAGAGAUCAAGAGGAAUACUCAUUGCGAAGGCGACCUGCUAGAACAUGACUGACGCUGAUGCGCGAAAGCGUGGGGAGCAAACAGGAUUAGAUACCCCUGUAGUC